AGGCGGGUAGCUCAGCUGGCAGAGCGCUGCCCUUACAAGGCAGAUGUCGCAGGUUCGACCCCUGUUCCGCCUACCA
rnacentral:tRNA from 1 species